AUAGAUAAUUUUUCUUUUCUAUUUUAUCUGAAUAAUUUUAGAACUUUUGUUAGGCAUUUUACUGUUUGUUUGCUUGUAUUGUGUGUUAAAAUGGUUCUCAGAAUUUUGCUUGUUGUUAAACUUAGGCGGCUGAAGUGAAAGCUCAACAUGGAAUUUUAGAAAGAGAACUACGCUUGAAAAUACAGGCCAUGCAGAAACAACAUGGCGAUAUAGUGGAAGAUCUUCAGUCUAAAGUUAGAGUGCUACAGAAGCAAGUUAUUACGCUCUCUAAAGGCCUUAAAAAGGGAAAGGAUACAGACAGUCCUCAACGUUUAUGAGAAUAACUGUAAUGUAAAGAAAAGAAAAAAAAAAAUCUGAAAUAAUGAAAUCAUGUAUUUAUAACUCAAAUCAUACUCAUCUUUGACAUUUUAUACUGUUUUAAAAUAUCAACUGAGGAUUUUAAUGCAUUUAUAGCUAAUUGUUCAUUUAGUUAUUUUACAAUGACAGUUUUAAAUAACCUAUUUUAAAGUAUGUAAUUAUGUUAUGUUAUAAAGUUUUCCUUUUAAUAUAAUAUUGUUAUAAUAAAAGGAAAGCAGUAUGAUAGUAUUCCUGUAAUGUAAUCAUUGGUGCUGUGAUUAAAACUGGAUAUUAUUUAUUACUCUCUUUUUCCCCCCUCUUUUCAAGUAAGUAAAAUGAAAAUGUUGAGUGAAAAACCCAGAUAUUUAUGUGCAUGCCUUAUUUUCAAAGUAUUUUUUUUUAUUAUUAUUAUUGUUAUUAGGCCUAAAGAGGCCUCUUAUUGAUAUUUAUUUUCCCAAUGACUUUUUAACCAGAAAAUACCUGUGUCAUUUUAUAACCCAAGAAUGAAAUAAAACUCUAUUUUCACUGCUGCAA